rnacentral:rRNA from 1 species
CAGGUAACAUCAAAUCGUACCCCAAACCGACACAGGUGGUCAGGUAGAGAAUACCAAGGCGCUUGAGAGAACUCGGGUGAAGGAACUAGGCAAAAUGGUGCCGUAACUUCGGGAGAAGGCACGCUGAUAUGUAGGUGAAGUCCCUCGCGGAUGGAGCUGAAAUCAGUCGAAGAUACCAGCUGGCUGCAACUGUUUAUUAAAAACACAGCACUGUGCAAACACGAAAGUGGACGUAUACGGUGUGACGCCUGCCCGGUGCCGGAAGGUUAAUUGAUGGGGUCAGCGCAAGCGAAGCUCUUGAUCGAAGCCCCGGUAAACGGCGGCCGUAACUAUAACGGUCCUAAGGUAGCGAAAUUCCUUGUCGGGUAAGUUCCGACCUGCACGAAUGGCGUAAUGAUGGCCAGGCUGUCUCCACCCGAGACUCAGUGAAAUUGAACUCGCUGUGAAGAUGCAGUGUACCCGCGGCAAGACGGAAAGACCCCGUGAACCUUUACUAUAGCUUGACACUGAACAUUGAGCCUUGAUGUGUAGGAUAGGUGGGAGGCUUUGAAGUGUGGACGCCAGUCUGCAUGGAGUCGACCUUGAAAUACCACCCUUUAAUGUUUGAUGUUCUAACGUGGACCCGUGAUCCGGGUUGCGGACAGUGUCUGGUGGGUAGUUUGACUGGGGCGGUCUCCUCCUAAAGAGUAACGGAGGAGCACGAAGGUUGGCUAAUCCUGGUCGGACAUCAGGAGGUUAGUGCAAUGGCAUAAGCCAGCUUGACUGCGAGCGUGACGGCGCGAGCAGGUGCGAAAGCAGGUCAUAGUGAUCCGGUGGUUCUGAAUGGAAGGGCCAUCGCUCAACGGAUAAAAGGUACUCCGGGGAUAACAGGCUGAUACCGCCCAAGAGUUCAUAUCGACGGCGGUGUUUGGCACCUCGAUGUCGGCUCAUCACAUCCUGGGGCUGAAGUAGGUCCCAAGGGUAUGGCUGUUCGCCAUUUAAAGUGGUACGCGAGCUGGGUUUAGAACGUCGUGAGACAGUUCGGUCCCUAUCUGCCGUGGGCGAUGGAGAACUGAGGGGGGCUGCUCCUAGUACGAGAGGACCGGAGUGGACGCAUCACUGGUGUUCGGGUUGUCAUGCCAAUGGCACUGCCCGGUAGCUAAAUGCGGAAGAGAUAAGUGCUGAAAGCAUCUAAGCACGAAACUUGCCCCGAGAUGAGUUCUCCCUGACCCUUUAAGGGUCCUGAAGGAACGUUGAAGACGACGACGUUGAUAGGCCGGGUGUGUAAGCGCAGCGAUGCGUUGAGCUAACCGGUACUAAUGAACCGUGAGGCUUAACCUU